CGAUCGUAUAACGUUGAAAUACCGGGUCCCAUACGAUCAUCAAAAUUAAGCAAAGGCGAGCCUGGUCAGUAUCUAGCUGGGUGACCGCUUGAGAAUACCAGGUGCUGCAAG